rnacentral:rRNA from 1 species
GACGAACGCUGGCGGCGUGCUUAACGCAUGCCAGUCGAACGGAAAGGCCCUGCUUUUGUGGGGUGCUCGAGUGGCGAACGGGUGAGUAACACGUGAGUAACCUGCCCUUGACUUUGGGAUAACUUCAGGAAACUGGGGCUACUACCGGAUAGGAGCUCCUGCUGCAUGGUGGGGGUUGGAAAGUUUCGGCGGUUGGGGAUGGACUCGCGGCUUAUCAGCUUGUUGGUGGGGUAGUGGCUUACCAAGGCUUUGACGGGUAGCCGGCCUGAGAGGGUGAACGGCGACAUUGGGACUGAGAUACGGCCCAGAGUCCUACGGGAGGCAGCAGUGGGGAAUAUUGCACAAUGGGCGGACGCCUGAUGCAGCAACGCCGCGUGCGGGAUGACGGCCUUCGGGUUGUAAACCGCUUUCGCCUGUGACGAAGCGUGAGUGACGGUAAUGGGUAAAGAAGCACCGGCUAACUACGUG